GGACCCGCACAAGCGGUGGAGCAUGUGGUUUAAUUCGAUGAUACGCGAGGAACCUUACCAGGGCUUAAAUGUAGUAUGACCGGUCUAGAAAUAGACCUUCUCUUCGGAGCAGAUUACAAGGUGCUGCAUGGUUGUCGUCAGCUCGUGCCGUGAGGUGUUAGGUUAAGUCCUGCAACGAGCGCAACCCCUAUUCUUAGUUGCCAGCGAGUAAUGUCGGGAACUCUAACGAAACUGCCAGUGCAAACUGUGAGGAAGGUGGGGAUGACGUCAAAUCAUCACGGCCCUUACGUCCUGGGCUACACAGUCUACAAUGGCCGGUACAGAGAGCAGCCACUUCGCAAGAAGGAGCG
rnacentral:rRNA from 1 species